rnacentral:rRNA from 1 species
UACGAAGGGGGCUAGCGUUGUUCGGAAUCACUGGGCGUAAAGCGCACGUAGGCGGAUCUUUAAGUCAGGGGUGAAAUCCCGAGGCUCAACCUCGGAACUGCCUUUGAUACUGGGGAUCUCGAGUCCGGGAGAGGUGAGUGGAAGUGCGAGUGUAGAGGUGAAAUUCGUAGAUAUUCGCAAGAACACCAGUGGCGAAGGCGGCUCACUGGCCCGGAACUGACGCUGAGGUGCGAAAGCGUGGGGAGCAAACAGG